rnacentral:rRNA from 1 species
GUGGGGAAUAUUGCGCAAUGGGGGAAACCCUGACGCAGCGACGCCGUGUGAGGGAAGAAGGCUUUCGGGUCGUAAACCUCUGUCAGAAAGGAAGAACCUCCCAAGUCCGAAUAGGGCUUGUGACUGACGGUACUUUCAAAGGAAGCACCGGCUAACUCCGUGCCAGCAGCCGCGGUAAUACGGAGGGUGCAAGCGUUAAUCGGAAUCACUGGGCGUAAAGCGCGCGUAGGCCGCUUUGUAAGUCGGACGUGAAAGCCCUCGGCUCAACCGGGGAACUGCGUUCGGUACUGCGAGGCUUGAGUCCUGGAGAGGGUGGCGGAAUUCCGGGUGUAGGAGUGAAAUCCGUAGAUAUCCGGAGGAACACCGGUGGCGAAGGCGGCCACCUGGACAGGUACUGACGCUGAGGCGCGAAAGCGUGGGGAGCAAACAGGAUUAGAUACCCCAGUAGUCC